UACGGAGGGUGCAAGCGUUAUCCGGAUUUACUGGGUUUAAAGGGUGCGUAGGUGGGUUGGUAAGUCAGUGGUGAAAUACUUUCGCUUAACGAAGGAACUGCCAUUGAUACUACCAGUCUUGAAUACAGUGGAGGUAGGCGGAAUGCGUCAUGUAGCGGUGAAAUGCUUAGAUAUGACGCAGAACACCAAUUGCGAAGGCAGCUUGCUACACUGUUAUUGACACUGAGGCACGGAAAGCGUGGGGGAUCAAACAGG
rnacentral:rRNA from 1 species